AUUGAACGCUGGCGGCAUGCUUUACACAUGCAAGUCGAACGGUAACAGGCCGCAAGGUGCUGACGAGUGGCGCACGGGUGUGUAAUGCACCGGAACGUGCCCCGUCGUGGGGGAUAACUCCUCGAAAGAGUAGCUCUUAUCGCACACGAUCUCUGGAUGAAAGCGGGGGACCGUAAGGCCUCGCGCGAUUGGAGCGGCCGAUGUCUGAUUAGGUAGUUGGUGGGGUAAAGGCUCACCAAGCCAACGAUCUGUAGCUGGUCUGAGAGGACAACCAGCCACACUGGAACUGAGACACGGCCCAGACUCCUACGGGAGGCAGCAGUGGGGAAUAUUGGACAAUGGGCGAAAGCCUGAUCCAGCAAUGCCGCGUGCAGGAAGAAGGCCUUCGGGUUGUAAAGUGCUUUUGGACGGAACGAAACGGCGCUGGUUAAUACCCGGGGCUAAUGACGUUACCGUAAGAAUAAGCACCGGCUAACUACGUG
rnacentral:rRNA from 1 species